rnacentral:rRNA from 1 species
CCCUUAGAGUUUGAUCCUGGCUCAGGACGAACGCUGGCGGCGCGCCUAACACAUGCAAGUCGAACGAGAGAUGAGGAGCUUGCUCUUCAAAUCGAGUGGCGAACGGGUGAGUAACGCGUGAGGAACCUGCCUCAAAGAGGGGGACAACAGUUGGAAACGACUGCUAAUACCGCAUAAGCCCACGGCUCGGCAUCGAGCAGAGGGAAAAGGAGUGAUCCGCUUUGAGAUGGCCUCGCGUCCGAUUAGCUAGUUGGUGAGGUAACGGCCCACCAAGGCGACGAUCAGUAGCCGGACUGAGAGGUUGAACGGCCACAUUGGGACUGAGACACGGCCCAGACUCCUACGGGAGGCAGCAGUGGGGAAUAUUGCACAAUGGGGGAAACCCUGAUGCAGCGACGCCGCGUGGAGGAAGAAGGUCUUCGGAUUGUAAAC